CGCACGGGUGAGUAACACGUGAGUGACCUGCCUUUUAGACUGGAACAACUUACCGAAAGGUGAGCUAAUGCCGGAUGAGUUAUAUAAGUGCAUGUUUAUAUAGGAAAAGUUGGGGAGACCUGACGCUGAAAGAUGGACUCGCGUCCCAUUAGCUAGUUGGUAGGGUAAUGGCCUACCAAGGCGACGAUGGGUAGCCGGCCUGAGAGGGUGGCCGGCCACACNGGGACUGAGACACGGCCCAGACUCCUACGGGAGGCAGCAG
rnacentral:rRNA from 1 species